AUUGAACGCUGGCGGCAUGCCUUACACAUGCAAGUCGAACGGCCGCACGGGUGCUUGCCUCUGGUGGCGAGUGGCGAACGGGUGUGUAAUACAUCGGGACAUGUCCUGUAGUGGGGGAUAGCCCGGCGAAAGCCGGGUUAAUACCGCAUACGAUUUAAGGAUGCAAGCGGGGGCAAUUGGGGCCGCGGGCUUUACGGUUGGCCGAUGUCUGAUUAGCUAGUUGGUGGGGUAAAGGCAUACCAAGGCGACGACCAGUAGCUGGUGUGAGAGGACGACCAGACACACUGGGACUGAGACACGGCCCAGACUCCUACGGGAGGCAGCAGUGGGGAAUUUUGGACAAUGGGCGAAAGCCUGAUCCAGCAAUGCCGCGUGUGUGAAGAAGGCCUUCGGGUUGUAAAGCACUUUUGUCCGGAAAGAAAUCCUUGGCUCUAAUACAGUCGGGUGAUGACGGUACCGGAAGAAUAAGCACCGGCUAACUACGUG
rnacentral:rRNA from 1 species